UUCCAUGAGCAGGACUCCAUGAGUACUUUAAUGCUCCAACAGGAGCAGCAGUUAGUGAGAGAUGCAAUUAUUUUAAAACAGGAGCUGUUUUUCUGAUGGAUCCCUUAUUGAACAGAGGAGUGGGUGUUGGCAAAAGGAGAAAUCCGAGAAAAGAUCCUCGACGACUGAGAGAAUCUUUAAACAGCCAUGUUGAGAAAAGAAGAAAAGAGUCUCAGAGCAGGAGAGAAGAUGUCCGGCAGAAGAACCUCGAUUUCCUACGUAUUACCUCUGAGACGCAGCAGUAGCUAUCCGUUUCGCCUCCCAGACAUGAGCGGGCAGCUCCUUGGUGGUGUAUCAGAGAUGAUGAUCUAGAACAUCACCAACUAUCUUGGACAUCACGGACACCCAGAACACUGGCCUCCCAUCGAUUCAGACCCAGCAUGUUCACAAAGUCUCCUGAGGCCUCCCAUCUGCAUUGAGAUCUAUAGAACUGGCCUCUAAAACUCUCCAUAAGCCAAUGUGCAAGUGGCCUCGAAGGUUCAAGAGACUAUUAUUUAUUUUCAAUAGUCUAAUCUAAUUCGUAAAAACAGACCCACUACGCUCCAUGACUGCCCAACAAUUUGCUAAUCCGUCACUACAAGGGAAUCCCAAAAUAAUCCCCAAAAUGUCAAUUGUUUACGUCCCAAGUCCGUGGUCCCAAAUAGGUCAUAGAGCCAAGAUGCAAUGUUCAAUCCUUUGUUUGCUGCAGGAUACCGUUGCAACCAACCCCAUCCUGCUACAUUGUGGACUCUCCUCUGUGCUACAGUCUGUUACUCCGUGUAACUCUCUCUCCCAUCAUUAUCCGUUGCUCUCCCAACGCCCUGUCACCGCCUAGACCCUUUUAAAGUUAGUGGGUGCUAUACCUGGGUAAGAAAGUCCCAUCAAUCAUUAAAUGAACUGUUACUGAAUUAUGAAUUACUUGGAUCUUCUUAACAAUCUCCCUUACAUCAGGACAUUUGAAACCCUUUACAUCCUGCUAAAAACUCAUCUGUUCACUAAA